GGUAUGGCUCAAAUGGUAGAGCAUCAGCCUUGAGAGCAUGAGGUCCUAAGUUCAAACCCUAGUACUAACA
rnacentral:tRNA from 1 species